AAAUUGAAGAGUUUGAUCAUGGCUCAGAUUGAACGCUGGCGGCAGGCCUAACACAUGCAAGUCGAACGGUAACAGGAAACAGCUUGCUGUUUCGCUGACGAGUGGCGGACGGGUGAGUAAUGUCUGGGAAACUGCCUGAUGGAGGGGGAUAACUACUGGAAACGGUAGCUAAUACCGCAUAACGUCGCAAGACCAAAGAGGGGGACCUUCGGGCCUCUUGCCAUCGGAUGUGCCCAGAUGGGAUUAGCUUGUUGGUGGGGUAACGGCUCACCAAGGCGACGAUCCCUAGCUGGUCUGAGAGGAUGACCAGCCACACUGGAACUGAGACACGGUCCAGACUCCUACGGGAGGCAGCAGUGGGGAAUAUUGCACAAUGGGCGCAAGCCUGAUGCAGCCAUGCCGCGUGUAUGAAGAAGGCCUUCGGGUUGUAAAGUACUUUCAGCGGGGAGGAAGGGAGUGAAGUUAAUACCUUUGCUCAUUGACGUUACCCGCAGAAGAAGCACCGGCUAACUCCGUGCCAGCAGCCGCGGUAAUACGGAGGGUGCAAGCGUUAAUCGGAAUUACUGGGCGUAAAGCGCACGCAGGCGGUUUGUUAAGUCAGAUGUGAAAUCCCCGGGCUCAACCUGGGAACUGCAUCUGAUACUGGCAAGCUUGAGUCUCGUAGAGGGGGGUAGAAUUCCAGGUGUAGCGGUGAAAUGCGUAGAGAUCUGGAGGAAUACCGGUGGCGAAGGCGGCCCCCUGGACGAAGACUGACGCUCAGGUGCGAAAGCGUGGGGAGCAAACAGGAUUAGAUACCCUGGUAGUCCACGCCGUAAACGAUGUCGACUUGGAGGUUGUGCCCUUGAGGCGUGGCUUCCGGAGCUAACGCGUUAAGUCGACCGCCUGGGGAGUACGGCCGCAAGGUUAAAACUCAAAUGAAUUGACGGGGGCCCGCACAAGCGGUGGAGCAUGUGGUUUAAUUCGAUGCAACGCGAAGAACCUUACCUGGUCUUGACAUCCACGGAAGUUUUCAGAGAUGAGAAUGUGCCUUCGGGAACCGUGAGACAGGUGCUGCAUGGCUGUCGUCAGCUCGUGUUGUGAAAUGUUGGGUUAAGUCCCGCAACGAGCGCAACCCUUAUCCUUUGUUGCCAGCGGUCCGGCCGGGAACUCAAAGGAGACUGCCAGUGAUAAACUGGAGGAAGGUGGGGAUGACGUCAAGUCAUCAUGGCCCUUACGACCAGGGCUACACACGUGCUACAAUGGCGCAUACAAAGAGAAGCGACCUCGCGAGAGCAAGCGGACCUCAUAAAGUGCGUCGUAGUCCGGAUUGGAGUCUGCAACUCGACUCCAUGAAGUCGGAAUCGCUAGUAAUCGUGGAUCAGAAUGCCACGGUGAAUACGUUCCCGGGCCUUGUACACACCGCCCGUCACACCAUGGGAGUGGGUUGCAAAAGAAGUAGGUAGCUUAACCUUCGGGAGGGCGCUUACCACUUUGUGAUUCAUGACUGGGGUGAAGUCGUAACAAGGUAACCGUAGGGGAACCUGCGGUUGGAUCACCUCCUUACCUUAAAGAAGC
rnacentral:rRNA from 1 species